CCUACGGGGGGCAGCAGUGAGGAAUAUUGGUCAAUGGACGAGAGUCUGAACCAGCCAAGUAGCGUGAAGGAUGACUGCCCUAUGGGUUGUAAACUUCUUUUAUAAAGGAAUAAAACGAGGCACGUGUGCCUUUUUGCAUGUACUUUAUGAAUAAGGAUCGGCUAACUCCGUGCCAGCAGCCGCGGUAAUACGGAGGAUCCGAGCGUUAUCCGGAUUUAUUGGGUUUAAAGGGAGCGUAGAUGGGUUGUUAAGUCAGUUGUGAAAGUUUGCGGCUCAACUGUAAAAUUGCAAUUGAUACUGGCAGUCGUGAGUACAGUUGAGGUAGGCGGAAUUCGUGGUGUAGCGGUGAAAUGCUUAGAUAUCACGAAGAACCCCGAUUGCGAAGGCAGCUUACUAAACUGUGACUGACAUUGAUGCUCGAAAGUGUGGGUAUCAAACAGGAUUAGAUACCCCGGUAGUC
rnacentral:rRNA from 1 species